AUGGGCAACAGCCUGCGGUGCUGCCUGGCCUGCGUCCUCCCGUGCGGCUCCUUCGACUUGAUCCGCAUCGUUCACCUCAAUGGCCACAUCGAGGAGUACUCCCGCCCGGUCACCGCCGGCGAGGUCAUGGCGGCGCACCCCAGCCACGUGGUGAGCCGGCCGUGCUCCCAGGGCGGCGCGCGGCGGAUCCUCAUUGUCGACGCCGAUUCGGAGCUGGAGCGGGGGUGCUUCUACUUCCUGGUGCCGACCUCGUCAGUGCCGGAGAAGAAGAGGAAGCCGUCGUCGCAGCCACAACAGAAGAAGGUGCGGUCAUCGUCCACGUUGAAGCCGACGAGCGUGCCGAGCAGUGCCGGCGCCGGCGCCAAUAAGGUGACGAAAGACCGCGGCGCCGGCGACAGCUACCUGGCGGAGGUGCUGUCGGAAGGCAAGGCCAGGUGCAAGCGCAGCCGGAGCGUCCGCGCGACGGUGUGGCGGCCGCAUCUUCAGAUCAUCCCGGAAGAAGCUCUCGAGUGA
rnacentral:rRNA from 1 species